rnacentral:rRNA from 1 species
GACGUAGGGGGCCAGCGUUGCUCGGAAUUACUGGGCGUAAAGGGUUCGUAGGCGGUGUGGCAAGUCGGGAGUGAAAUCUCUGGGCUUAACUCAGAGGCUGCUUCCGAAACUGCCGUGCUAGAGUGCGGGAGAGGCGAGUGGAAUUGCAGGUGUAGCGGUGAAAUGCGUAGAUAUCGGGAGGAACACCUGUGGCGAAAGCGGCUCACUGGACCAUAACUGACGCUGAUGCACGAAAGCUGGGGGAGCAAACAGG